GAUGAACGCUGGCGGCGCGCCUAACACAUGCAAGUCGAGCGAUUAAAGCACCUUCGGGUGUGUAUAAAGUGGCGAACGGCUGAGUAACACGUGGGCAACCUGCCCCUUUCAUUGGGAUAGCCACGGGAAACCGUGGAUAAUACCGAAUACUUCGAGACUUCCGCAUGGAAGACUCGAGAAAGCUCCGGCGGAGAGGGAUGGGCCCGCGGCCUGUUAGCUUGUUGGUGGGGUAACGGCCUACCAAGGCAAUGAUGGGUAGCUGGGUUGAGAGACCGACCAGCCAGAUUGGGACUGAGACACGGCCCAGACUCCUACGGGAGGCAGCAGUGGGGAAUCUUGCACAAUGGGCGAAAGCCUGAUGCAGCGACGCCGCGUGCGGGAUGAAGGCCUUCGGGUUGUAAACCGCUUUCAGCAGGGACGAGGCGAAAGUGACGGUACCUGCAGAAGAAGCCCCGGCUAACUACGU
rnacentral:rRNA from 1 species